UACGAGGGGGGGCAAGCGUUGUUCGGAAUUAUUGGGCGUAAAGGGUGCGUAGGCGGUUUGGUAAGUCUUAUGUGAAAUCUACAGGCUCAACUUGUAGUCUGCAUGAGAAACUGCCGGGCUUGAGUAUGGGAGAGGUGAGUGGAAUUCCUGGUGUAGCGGUGAAAUGCGUAGAUAUCAGGAAGAACACCCGUGGCUAAGGCGGCUCUCUAGUACGGUACUGACGCUGAGACGCGAAAAGCGUGGGGAGCGAACAGG
rnacentral:rRNA from 1 species